rnacentral:lncRNA from 1 species
AAAUCUGCCUGCUGUGUGUUAUGUAACCCAGAGCCUCAGAAUAAUACCGCUUCAUUCCUUUAUAUAACAUUAAUUAAGCAAGAAGUAAAUGAGUUACGAUAAGUCUUGAUAAGUGGUAUCAUUGUGGAAUACCUAAUGUAGAGUAUUUCUCCAAGUAGAAAUAUUUCAUGAUUUUGCUGUUUUAUAGAAGGAAUAUUUCUCCAAAAACUUUAGAUUGCCUUAUCAGAGUGAGACUGAAGGGGUGUAAAUCAGUGCUGUUCUACUGAGCACUUCUGAUGAAAAUUGAUAUAGGUUCACUGUGCUCACUGGUGCUAUACUGAUUUACAUCACUUGAAGAUUUUGCCCUGCAUGUUUAGAAGUAUGACUAUAAUUAGAACUAAAUUCUGCCUUGCCAUCAUUAUUCAAGGUUGCAUAUAUUGGUGAUGGGGAGAAAGAAGCUUUCUCAGCACAGUCUAGGUGGGGGCUGAAAUUCUAUGAAGGCUUAGAUAUAAUGGUUAUUCAUCUAUGGAGAAUGACACCUGGGUAUAUAAGGUUAUUGCAGACUCAAGCUUCAGGAAAAAUAGUUAUCAACUCAACAGACAUACUGCUGCCACAUACAGCCUUGCUACUGGGAAUGUUUGGGAUCAGUAUAUCCAGCUACAGCACACACCAGCUAGCUCAAGAGAAGAAACUUCCCUUGACCCUUUCAGCUGCAUUGGGAUGUGACCCAAGAAAUAAACGCUUAUGUCAGUAGUGCUGAUGAGUGGCUUUUCACUCUCAGUUAUCAGUCUGAAGGUCAUGAGACACUUUGCAGUCCUGAUUUCCUCAUGCAAACUUGAAAAAACUGAAGAAUCACAGAUUUCUUCGGGAAAGAAAAAAGAAUAAUGACAACAGAGGCAUUAGAUUUCCAAGUAAGAUGAAUUGUCUGUAAACACGAUGGAUUUUUUUCAUUUUUCAGUGUAUACAUAGAGAGAAAUUUAAAGGUAUAAAGUACAGUUAAAAUCAGAGUAGGUAUAAAGAUAUCGAUGGGGGUACCAUGCUCAGUUAAGGUCACCUUGUUACAGCUUUUGCAAAUAGACUCCUAUACAAAGACUUGAUUUGAAAAGGAAAGUUGGAAGCAGUAUAUUCUUCAUGACAAGUGUUAGAGCAAAUAAAGCAUCGCUCAUAGACUCUUAGUACUGUUAU